GACGGGGCCCGGCACAAGCAGCGGAGCGUGUGGUUAAUUCGAUGAUACACGAAGAACCUUACCAGGGUUUGACAUACAAGUGGUAGUGAAGCGAAAGCAGAACGACCUUCGGGAGCUUGAACAGGUGCUGCAUGGCUGUCGUCAGCUCGUGUCGUGAGAUGUUCGGUUAAGUCCGCUAACGAGCGCAACCCUUGUUGUGUGUUACACGUAUCACGCAAGGCCGCCGGUAGAAAGCCGGAGGAAGGUGGGGAUGACGUCAAGUCAGCAUGGCCUAUAUAUCCUGGGCUACACACACGCUACAAUGGUCGGUACAAUGGGUAGCUAAGCCGCGAGGCGGAGCCAAUCCUAAAAAGCCGGUCUCAGUUCAGAUUGCAGGCUGCAACUCGCCUGCAUGAAGUCGGAAUCGCUAGUAAUCGCAGGUCAGCAUACUGCGGUGAAUACGUUCCCGGGCCUU
rnacentral:rRNA from 1 species